rnacentral:rRNA from 1 species
UUGGAGGGCAAGUCUGGUGCCAGCAGCCGCGGUAAUUCCAGCUCCAAUAGCGUAUAUUAAAGUUGUCGCAGUUAAAAAGCUCGUAGUUGAAUUUCGGGAUUAGUACGUCGGUCGUGCCUUAGGUACGUACUGGUGUUACUGGUUCCUACCUUCUGACGAACCAUCAUGUCAUUAAUUUGGUGUGGUGGGGAAUCAGGACUGUUACUUUGAAAAAAUUAGAGUGUUUAAAGCAGGCUCGCGCUUGAAUACAUUAGCAUGGAAUAAUGAAAUAGGACGUUGAUCCUAUUUUGUUGGUUUCUAGGAUUGACGUAAUGAUUAAUAGGGAUAGUUGGGGGCAUUAGUAUUCAAUUGUCAGAGGUGAAAUUCUUGGAUUUAUUGAAGACUAACUACUGCGAAAGCAUUUGCCAAGGAUGUUUUCAUUAAUCAAGAACGAAAGUUAGGGGAUCGAAGACGAUCAGAUACCGUCGUAGUCUUAACCAUAAACUAUGCCGACUAGGGAUCGGAUGAUGCUAUUUUUAAUGACUCAUUCGGCGCCUUACGGGAAAC